rnacentral:sRNA from 1 species
GAAUAGCCCUGAUGGAAGUGGCAUCCCACGCUUUUUGGCGUGGAUACAACGGACAGCAGGAGCAGAG